GCCCGGUUGGCACAAUUGGUUAGCGCGUGAGACUUUUAAGGAGUGGCUCAAACCCCUCUGGAGAAUGGAGAUCUCAAGGUUGGGAGUUCGAGCCUCCCAUCGGGCG